rnacentral:rRNA from 1 species
AGAGUUUGAUCCUGGCUCAGGACGAACGCUGGCGGCGUACCUAAUACAUGCAAGUCGAGCGGACCAAAUCGGAGCUUGCUCUGAUUUGGUCAGCGGCGGACGGGUGAGUAACACGUGGGCAACCUGCCCGCAAGACCGGGAUAACUCCGGGAAACCGGAGCUAAUACCGGAUAACACCGAAGACCGCAUGGUCUUUGGUUGAAAGGCGGCCUUUGGCUGUCACUUGCGGAUGGGCCCGUGGCGCAUUAGCUAGUUGGUGAGGUAACGGCUCACCAAGGCGACGAUGCGUAGCCGGCCUGAGAGGGUGACCGGCCACACUGGGACUGAGACACGGCCCAGACUCCUACGGGAGGCAGCAGUAGGGAAUCUUCCGCAAUGGGCGAAAGCCUGACGGAGCGACGCCGCGUGAGCGAAGAAGGCCUUCGGGUCGUAAAGCUCUGUUGUGAGGGACGAAGGAGCGCCGUUCGAAGAGGGCGGCGCGGUGACGGUACCUCACGAGGAAGCCCCGGCUAACUACGUGCCAGCAGCCGCGGUAAUACGUAAGGGGCGAGCGUUGU